CAGUCGAGGGGCAGCAUGGGGAGUAGCAAUACUCUCUGAUGGCGACCGGCGCAAGGGUGCGUAACGCGUGAGCAACUUGCCCUCAUCAGGGGAAUAAUCGCUGGAAACGGCGUCUAAUGCCCCAUGGUGAUGUCCUCAGGCAUCUGAGGUCAUCUAAAGAUCCGUCGGAUGGGGAUAGGCUCGCGUGACAUUAGCUAGACGGCGGGGUAACGGCCCACCGUGGCGACGAUGUCUAGGGGUUCUGAGAGGAAGGUCCCCCACACUGGAACUGAGACACGGACCAGACUCCUACGGGAGGCAGCAGUGAGGAAUAUUGGUCAAUGGGCGCGAGCCUGAACCAGCCAAGUCGCGUGAGGGAAGACGGUCCUAUGGAUUGUAAACCUCUUUUGUCGGGGAGCAAAAGACGUCACGUGUGGCGUUCCGAGAGUACCCGAAGAAAAAGCAUCGGCUAACUCCGUGCCAGCAGCCGCGGUAAUACGGAGGAUGCGAGCGUUAUCCGGAUUUAUUGGGUUUAAAGGGUGCGCAGGCGGAAGAUCAAGUCAGCGGUAAAAUUGAGAGGCUCAACCUCUUCGAGCCGUUGAAACUGGUUUUCUUGAGUGAGCGAGAAGUAUGCGGAAUGCGUGGUGUAGCGGUGAAAUGCAUAGAUAUCACGCAGAACUCCGAUUGCGAAGGCAGCAUACCGGCGCUCAACUGACGCUCAUGCACGAAAGUGUGGGUAUCGAACAGGAUUAGAUACCCUGGUAGUCCACACAGUAAACGAUGAAUACUAAUUGUUCGGGGGAAUGAUCCCUGAGUGAUACAGCGAAAGCGUUAAGUAUUCCACCUGGGGAGUACGCCGGCAACGGUGAAACUCAAAGGAA
rnacentral:rRNA from 1 species